rnacentral:rRNA from 1 species
GACCAGACUCCUACGGGAGGCAGCAGUGGGGAAUAUUGCACAAUGGGGGGAACCCUGAUGCAGCGACGCCGCGUGGGUGAAGGAGUAUUUCGGUAUGUAAAGCCCUAUCAGCAGGGAAGAACAAUGACGGUACCUGACUAAGAAGCACCGGCUAAAUACGUGCCAGCAGCCGCGGUAAUACGUAUGGUGCAAGCGUUAUCCGGAUUUACUGGGUGUAAAGGGAGCGUAGACGGCCAUGCAAGCCAGGGGUGAAAGCCCGGGGCCCAACCCCGGGACUGCCCUUGGAACUGCAUGGCUGGAGUGCGGGAGGGGCAGGCGGAAUUCCUGGUGUAGCGGUGAAAUGCGUAGAUAUCAGGAGGAACACCGGCGGCGAAGGCGGCCUGCUGGACCGCGACUGACGUUGAGGCUCGAAAGCGUGGGGAGCGAACAGGAUUAGAUACCCUGGUAC